GCUUUCAGUACUGAGCCCCUGCGCUAAAGACCAUGCUACAAGAAGCUAGAUGUUAGGGCAGUCCGAGAACUGUCCCUGGUCCACUGGGGGUGGGGUAGGAGGGGUGCACGAGUGGCCGUCUGUGCCAUGUCUGCCUUGCAUUUGAUUCCAGCAGUUACCAAGCUAAACUAGAGAAAGAAAUAGCUUUGUUGUGGAUUGCAUUGUCGAGCCAUUUUCGUGUCCUGAUACCGCAUAAACGAUCACCUGAUCGCUGGAUCGAUUGGGGUGCUGUGAUAAAACAUCAUAUGUUGGAUGUCUUGGACAACAGAAUUUUACUUUUCCCAUCAUAGGGACUAAAAGUCCCAGAGUCCCUGAGCCUGAGCCUGAUGGGAGGAAUUUGAUGGAUCAUUCCUUCAUGGGACUGAGUAUUCUAAGAUCAUUCCCUGUAUGCAAAUAAUAUAGUAUGGGUCCCUGUAAUUGUUCUUACCUAAUACAGGAGGGAGCUUCUCUUGUGAAGGCUGAUACUGAUCUUUUUAGGUAGUUCCUGGUUAAAAGAACCCAAAGUAAUGAAAAAUAUAUUGCUAGUAAUAAUUUCUCUGAAUACUCACAGACAGCUAAUACAGCUGUUCCUCUUCAAGAUACUGCUACCUGCUGAGAGGCCCUGGAGCUAUUCUGGAGGCUACAGAGACUAUGCCCUAUCCUGCUUGUCAUCACCUGCAGCUGGUUCCAGGCUCCAAGGAUGAAUUGGCAGGAAUGGACUUUCCCCCCACCCUCUCUUUUAUAAAGCGUUUCCACCAUUAAAAAUUUGAACCUUGAUCAGA